ACUCGAAUCUUGAGGAUAAGGUGCUCAUUGAGGACGAGAGUAUUGUUCAGCCCAAUAUCACACAGGUAACUAUUAGGCUGAGAAAGUUAUUGGGCCGAAAACAAGCAAUAGGGCCAAGUUGAUUUGGGAUCCAAGUUGAGUAUUGGCGCAAAGAAGGUUUUGUUAAAAAGGGAUAAUGGUUGGUUAUUUUGGAGAUUAUGCAUAUUGUUGAGAAAAGUGUUUGCUUCUCCUCGUCUCUCAUUCUCAUCCCCUUUUUCUAUCUAUCCCUAGUUACUUUAAUUCCUGUAAUUUCUCACUGUAAUUUGGUAGUUUGAGGAUUGAAUUGUUAUCCAAAUAUGUAAUGGAGUUCUAGUUCAUAUUGAUAUAGUAAGGAGUUUGUCUAUUUGUUACACUUGGUGAUAUGCGGACGACGGCAUUCCUAUAUGAAUAGGAGUCCUUGACUUUGGAUGGCCACGUAAAGAAUUGCUAUGUCAAAUGAAACUUUUUUUAGUACAAUGAAUGGAAAAAAGUUUACAUUGUGUAUACUUAAUGCAAAGAAUUGAAUUUAAAGUGGAGAAAAGUUUCAUGAAUACUUUGUCUUACGUGAUGACUAAUGGUUUGGUCAUUGUGUGUAAAGAGUAACAAAGAAAUUCUUUUCUUAGCUCGAGGAAAGUAAAGAGUCAAUGUGGGAUAAUUUUAAGAAGACAAAUAUGUCUGUUGCGUGUACUUCAAGCCUAAUCUUUGACUCUCAAUUAGUCUAUAUUCAGAUAAGUUUUGAAGUAGGGGAUAUUUAUAGGCAUCUAAAUUUUAUUGGAUUUAAAUCCAUAAAGUUAUUUGUACUAUAUCUUUUAAUAUAAAAUAUAUUAGUUCAAAUAAAUUCAAUGGGCUAAUAUAAUUGAAUUAAUUGUAUAAGUCCAAUAUAUAUGAAUUAAAUAAAUAAGUCUUAAUCCAUUGGGCUAGUCUAUUUAGUUGGGCUACAGAUGAUGAGCGUACUUCACUAGGCCCAAUAUGCCAUCUUCUUAGAGGCCCAGUUGAGUGACACGUGUCGGAUGACGUGGCACGCCAAGUCAAAUAGAAGAGUCAAUGUGAUCAUGCCACAUGUCAAAAUGACAAGGCAUGCCAAGUCAAAUUAAAAGGCCAAUGAAACCGCGUCACGUGUGCAACUUGUCACGACCCAAAGUCCGUUAAAGGUCGUGAUGUCACCGGACACCACUGUCAAGCAAGCCAACACUAAAUAGUUAAUUAAAUUCUCAUUUAAAUAUUUUUGAAAUCAUAAAUUUUCCUUCGAUUUAACUAGUUAAAGAUGAAAUUUACAGAAUAAAUAAUAAUGUUUUUCCAAAUUUCAAUACUAAAUAUCUCAUAAUCAUCCCAGAACCCGGUGUCACAAGUGCAUGAGCAUUUACUAGAAAAUAAAAUACAACAACUAUCUGGAAUAAAAAUUUGGGACAGAAAGAAAAUACAAAUACUCUGAAGGAGACCCUACUGGUUGCGGAUCGUAGCAUGAGAUGCAACUCAUCUAAGUCCCCGUGUCAACCAUGUUGCUACGCCUACAAAGCCACUAGCCAUACAGGUGCCUGUACAAUAAAAUGUACAACAAGUGUAGUAUAAGUACGAACACAACGCAUACCCAGUAAGCAUCUAGUCUAAUCUCGAAAAAGAAGUGACGAGAGGUCGACUCCGACACUUUCUAUGUCCAGCAAUAAUAUACCGAUAAUAUAGUUAAUCCUGAAUUUUAUAAGAUAACUGUAAAUUCAAUAGCAUGAAGCAGAUAAACAAUUCUUUUGUUAAUAGGGUAUUUUUCAAAUUUAUUUUCAUCUUUUAAUAAUUUACAUCUCCGGCCAACGAGGCCACAUCAAUUAUAAAUUAUUCCAAAACAAUCAAUUAAGUCAUGCGCAAUUCAUGCAGAGGUCGUACAACCCGUUCCAAUAUAAUAUUUAAAUUGUGCAUUGCCGGAGGGUCGAAUGGAGCGAACCAUAGAUGCAUCUAUUUAAUCUGCCGAGGCGUUCGGCCCGUUCCACAAAAGGAAAAUACAUUCAAAAAGUAAAUCAAGAAUUCGUCAAGGAGCAAUUAUCCGAGAAAAUGGCAAUCAACCUUUAACGGUCAAGAAAAUAAAGUUUAACCUUUUAGAAAUUCAUUUACCAAGUUCGAUAUGAUUUAAGCAAUUUAAAUUGACAAUAAAGUUAUAAAUAUCGCAAGUAUAGCAUGCUUUUGGGUAUUAGUCUACCAUGAAUUAAGCAUAAUAGUAGCUACGCACGGACUCUCGUCACCUCGUGCGUACGUAGCCCCCCACAAAUAGAAGCACAUAUUGAUUUAGUUCACCUACAGAAUUAAUUCCCUCUUACAAGGUUAGAAAAGAGAAUUACUUCGCUCCAAAGUUCCUUAACCAGCUCCCAAAUCAUUCAAUCAACUCAAAUCGAUGCCCAACGCUCCCAAACUAGUCAAAAAAUGAGCAAAUCCAUAAAUAUAUACUCUUAUACUCACACAAUUUAAUUUAAAGAAGUUCCCAAUUCUACUCGAAAAGUUAAUAAAAUCACCCUUUGGCUCAUGUGGGAUUUCGAAAAUUUUCAGAGAUAAACUUUACCCGUAACCUCAUGAACUCAUAUAUAUAAUUUAUUCUCAAUUUCAUGCCCAAAUUCGUGGUCAAAAUCCAAAAAUACCAAUUUCUAGGUUUCUCUUCAAAAUCCCAAUUUCUCAUGAUUUUUUAUGUUUAAAUACUUAUACAAACCAUGUAUUUAACUUAUAAUAAGUGGGAAUCACUUACCUUGACAUAGAUGAUGAAAACCUCCCUUCUAAGAGCUCCAAAAAUUGCCCAACCAAAUGAAAAAUGGAGGAAUGAUGGCCAAAUCCCGUCUUUAAAACAAUCUGCCCAGGCCAAACCCCCUUCUUCGCAUUCAUGAUCAAAGCCUCACAUUGGCAAAGUAUACAGACACAACUUCUUCGCGUUCGCGGCUGAAGCUCCGCGUUCGCGAAGGCCAAACUACUCCAGGCUCCCACUCCACUUCCUUCUUCGCGUUCGCGACCCCUGUGUCGCCUUCAUGUAUGCUUCCUUGGGCAACCCUCCACGUUCGUGACCUCCGCCUCGUGUUCGCGAAGUCCAAAACCCCAGCUACCUCGAAUUCCUCUUCGCGAACGCGGGACACCCUUCGCAUUCGCGAUGUAGGAAACCAGAUAGCAACAACAACAGUCCAAAACAGCCAAAUAUUAUCUGGAACCAUCCCGAAACACAUCCGAGUCCCCCGAGACCCUGUCUUAUCACACAAACCAGUCCUAUAAUAUAACACGGACCUGCUCGAGGCCUCAGAUCACAUCAAACAACAUUAAAAUCAUCACUCACACCCAAUUCGAGCUUAAUGGACUUUAGAACUUCAAACUUCUAUAUUCGAUGCCAAAACCUAUCAAAUCACGUCCGAUUUACUUCAAAUUUUGCACACAAGUCAUAUUCGACGUUACAGACGUACUCCAACUUCCGGAAUCAGAAUUCGACCACGAUAUCAAAAAGUAUACUUCCGGUCAAACCUCUCAAAAACCUUUAAAUUUUUAACUUUCGCCAAAUGACUCCAAAAUGACUUACGGACCUCCAAAUCCAUAUCUAGACAUGCUCCUAGUACCUGAAUUACCAUACGGAGCUAUUCCUAGACUCGGAAUCCAAAACGGACAUCAAAAACAUUGAAAUGCACUUCAACCCAAGUUUAUGAAAUUCUUCUGAAAUGUUAACUCCCACAAUAGGCGCCGAAACACUCCCGAGUCAUUCAAAACCCGAUCCGGACUUACGCCCAAGUCCAAAAUCAUCACACGAACCUGUUGGAACCUUCAAAUCCCAAUUCCGAGUUCGUUUAAUCAAAAUCAAUCCUUAGUCAAUUCUUCCAACUUAAGGCUUCCGAAAUGAGAAUUUUCUUUCCGAAUCAACUCUGAAUUUCCGAAAUUCCAAUUCCGACCACGCGUACAAGUCAUAAUACCCGAAGUGAAGCUGCUCAUGACCUCAAACCACCAAAUGACAUGCUAGAGCUCAAAAAACCACUCAUGUUGUUAUAUUUUCUCCCACUUAAACAUACGUUCGUCCUCGAACGUGCUAAGGACUACUCUGGAAUUGUCUGAAAUCACUGUUUAACACCUUUUGCAACUACCCAUGCUACCACAACUCAGUUGAGCACAUUUGCUCGAGCAAAUAUGAAGAUUACCCUUUUUCUUAGUCAAAUAAGCCUUGGAGCCAGAUUUCAACAUCCGGAAUUUUCCACUAGGCUUGUUUCCAUCAUACGAACACCAUAUCAAUCUCUAUGCGAUGUACCAAUACAUGAUUGCAUACCUUUGCUGAAUCCAGACUAUGCACUGCAUAACUUACAUGACCUUAAUAACAUCCUCUGAUAACAAUAGCUGAAAUUUCACGAACCCAAUGCUCACAAUGCACCUCAUGACAUAUAUAAGUCUUGUUUCAAGUUUUGCAAUACCUCCACAACGGAAGAGGUGUGUACAAAUUUAUAACCAACUGUCAAGUUAACAAAUCAUUGAAUCUCUCCUCUUGAGUAGAAUAAUCACCUUAUUAUGAACCAAAUAAUGGUAUUUACUCUUUAAUAUGCUUCAUAUAAUCUGAUCGCACUAAUCCCAUAUCCAAUAAUCUCAUGUCACCUAGUACGAGCUGCUCAGGCAAUAAGCCACUUCUGACACAACCAAAAGUCUCAUAUGAUGUCACAUUGUGCCAACAAGCUACUAACUCGAAUGUGAUACAUAAGGGAAACGAACUCUGGAAAGGACUACUCAACUCGCGUAACUAAUUAGAUAACCGAAAAGGUGUUACGAACCUUCCUCAGAAAAUGGAAAACAAAAAACACAAGAAGAUAUAUAAGACUGUACUCAAAAUCACACUAUUGUGGCGCGCAACGCCGAUCCACACAUAAUACCAUUACGGUAUGCAACCCGAUCCAAACAACAUACUCAUGGCGGCGUACCACCCAAGCCACACAUAAAAUCUAUAUAAGGAGAUACUUACCGAGCUAGAAUGCUCAUUACUACAAAAUAUCCGAAUAUCGGCCACAAGCACGCCAAAUGCAUAAUACCAUCUCUGGGGGACAGCUAGCGCCAUACGCUACAAAACUCAAGCACAGCUAAGGUACGAUAUGUUAUCUGCAUCUCGAGAGCCAUCCUGCUCACAUAACACCAUCGCUACGCGGAACCUCAACACAUAUCCAAUUAAUUAAGCCGUUUCACAACCCAAAUGGCACAAUAUGGCUUGACAUGAAAUAGUCGACGAUGAAAUAACAUCCAACGUCUGAAUACUCCUCCAUAAGGAGCGCUAUGUUAAAAUGAACACAUCCGGCUUGAUAUGGAGCCACAUUCACAUUUAGAUCCACCCACGGACCUCAAGCCGAUUCUGAUUUCACCGCACUAGGCUAUUGACUCAAACCAUCUAAGUCCUUCCUCACUCAUCCGAGCUCGUGAUGUUCUUGACAAUACCAAUGAUAACCUUGAUCUUCAACUUCCAAUUCCCAUGUCGCUCACUGCGCCCAACAUGCCAAUACGCGACAAUAUAAGAAUUUCACCAUAACUCCUAGACCACUAGUAGAAUAAACUCUUCCUCAUAUAGAAAUCUUUUACUUAGCUCAUCUUAGAAGAACAAUGCAACAUGCAACUGAAUUCCCAUAACCGUAGAAAAUACAAUCCUCAAGUAGUGGUCUAAACCCCCAUGACGUUUUUGGAACCUAUUUACUCAACCUAGCCCUUAAAACCAAAUAUCUCCCAAAUCAAUCAAAUUAUGGUAGAUGUCAAGCCUCGCACGUACUGCCACAAAUGAUAUAUAUAACUAAACACGCUAAACGAAUUGAUCACGGCCACAAUCAUGUCGAUUCAACCAUUACUAGCUGACACGUCUUUUCCCAAUUUAUUCUUAACUUGCCUUAGAAAUAAUAAUAGCUCCAUUCAAAAAAUAACGAACCCAAAUUCGCACUCAUCCUGAGUGACCUUAUUUCACGAGACCACGUUGUCUCAAAACCCACAAACUAUCUCAUGCCUAUAUUCGCAGCUUCAACUGGUACACCCAUUCUGAUAAUUCCUCUAUAAAUCCGAAGUUAUUUUCUCCCAUUUCUCCAAUGCCACACUGCAGACCGAGGAUAACAUAGAACACCCCAAGCCCCUUUUUUCAUAAUCCGCUGUAAAAUCUCGUUACUUAACCAUACUACGGACUUGAAAUCCUUAGGCACGGUACUUUAACUCUAGAAUCCAUUAGGGCUGUUGUUUCCGAAUAUAAUCAAACUCCAAGACUAUGCUAGCACAUGAGUACCCUCUCAAAGAAGCACUCGGUUGAAUCACUUUCCUUGUAAAUAACCUCUAUGUGAAACAUAAAUCCUAAAUCUUCCCAAAGCAUGGACAUGAAUCGAUAAGGCCAAUUAUAGCAUACAUUCCUCAAAUCCUUUGCUCAAAUCACCACUAAUGUCUUCUUUCCUUAGUCGCAAUAACCCAUUAUGCCGAUAACCAAGAACCUCACAAGUAGACAACCAUGAAAUCCAAUAUAGGCGAUGGGGAUCUCCCACUUAGCUUAAGGCUACCAUUACAUAACCCUAGAACCCACCAAGAUUCCUUUUUCCUCAUUGACAUGAUCUUGCACAACCAACCAACAAAUUUCUCGAAAUCUUUCCAUUAAACAUUUUAUAAACUCUCUAAAUCACUAGCCACAUUUACAUAUUCGACCUCUUACCGGAUGGCCAGUAGAAUUCUUCAUAAAAGCUUCGUCAAUACUACGCGAUCGCCAGCCUACUCACAGAAGAUAACCCGCAUGUGGAAAUUACAUGCCGACAUCUUCCAAUGUCGUCGCAGUAGGUACAAAUAUUAUGAAAUCAAUAACCCAUCCUGAGCCCGUGCUCAUUCACCAGCUGUACAAGUCCAUUCACUCCUUAUGGACAUCAAAUAAAAGCGCGACAAUACCUUCAAAUCCAAAUUCAUGUUGUAUCCAAUCACCCGCGUAUAAUAGCCAAUAUUUCAAAUUAAGUCCGUAGACCCAGUCACCGUCCACUAUAAAUCCCAAAUCACUCUAAACUUUCUUCAAGGCGUGUAGUUAUCCUACCACUGAACCCAUAUGCUACUCUGCCAAUCUCCUACUUUGGUCAAACUUUGUCCUUUAAGCAACUACUCGACUUCUGCUUCUUACACCUGGCCUUCUAGAAAUUUAACCAUCAUAUGACACUUCCCACAUGUCCUUCCUUAUCCUUCACUACCCAAUUGUUGCCUUAAAUCAUACAUCCAUCUCUGUAGCACUUGAAUCAAUAGGUCGCUACCAACUUUAGACCCUUCCAACGAUUAUCUUUCUCGAGCCACCAAUACUAGGAACACCAAAUCGAUCCUGAACAACUGCACACUGCGAUCUCUAACAACCACUUCCCCUGCACCAUUUCGCAAUACUCUUCCUCAUAGGUGAAUUGAAGGAGACCAUAACACCGGCGAACUUCACACAUUUAAACAAGGAUGACGACACCUCGUCACAGAUAAAAAUUCCACCACGCUCGAACAUACUAAGUCUCGUUACUCCAUCAACCCAAACUUGAACAUUCAUAGUUCGAUUGCCAUUUCUCCACCAGAAAUAAAAUACCGAAUCUCUGAAUCUUGCAUUGAGUAAACAUCCUUCCAAGUCAUUUACUACUUCAACGCAUAGACGAGCAUCCUAAGCAUCCUACUAUUAUACGAAUACUGUGCGAUAGCAAUGCACGAAUCGUCAUAACAAUCAAUGAUAAAUCUUAAAACCAUAGGUAAUACUGAUACUGAGCUGAAAUGACAGGACGUCCUUUCGCAAGGCGACGACAAUAGCUCAAUCAAAUACGCAGGGGAAAACAUCCUACACCACCUCUGUAGUGCCAUUACAAUUCUUCAAUUCCAGAUUUACAACAAGCGGUCCACGUCGUAUAAGAUUGAAUAGGAAAUAAAAAAGGCAUAAGCCUCAAAGGAAUCAAAUCGCACGAUGAGGAAUGAAGAAGGGAAGUGCUACUAACAUCGCUAUAGCCUCUCAAAUAUAAGUACAAACGUCCCUGUAUUGCUCAUGACUCGUGAGACCUAAGUAAACCUAGUGCUUUAAUACCAUUUUGUCACGACCCAAAGUCCAUUAAAGGUCGUGAUGGUGCCGGACACGACUGUCAGGUAAGCCAGCACUAAAUAGUUAAUUAAAUUCUCAUUUUAAUAUUUUUGAAAUUAUAAAUUUUCCUUCGAUUUAACCAGUUAAAAGAUGAAAUUUACAGAAUAAAUAAUAAUAUUUUUCUAAAUUUCAAUACUGAAUAUCCCAUAAUCAUCCCAUAACCCGGUGUCACAAGUGAAUGAGCAUUUAUUAGAAAAUAAAAUACAAUAACUAUUCAGAAUAAAAAUUUGGGACAGAAAAAAUACAAAUACUCUGAAGGAGAUUCUGCUGGUUGCGGAUUGUAAUAUGAGAUGCAGCUCACCUAUGUCCCCGUGUCAACCAUGGCGCUGCUCCCACUAAGCCACUAGCCAUACAGGUGCCUGUACAAUAAAAUGUACAGCAAGUGUAAUAUGAGAACGAAAACAACGCAUACCCUAUAAGUAUCUAGUCUAAUCUCGAAGAAGUAGUGACGAGAGGUCGACUCUGACACUUACUAUGGCCAACAAUAAUAUACCUAUAAUAUAGUUAAUCUUGUAUUUUAUAAGACGAAUGUAAACUCAAUAGCAUGAAGUAGAUAAAUAAUUCUUUUGUUAAUAGGAUAUUUUCCAAAUUUAUUUUUAUCUUUUAAUAAUUAAUAUCUUCGGCCAAUGAGGCCACAUCAAUUAUCAAUAAUUUCAAGACAAUCAAUUAAGUCAUGUGCAAUUCAUGUCGAGGUCGUACAACCUGAUCCAACAUAAUAUUUAAACUGUGCACUACCAGAGGGUCAAAUGACACGAACCAUAGAUGCAUAUAUUUAAUCUGUCGAGGCGUUCGACUCGUUCCACAAAAGGAAAACACAUUCAAAUAGUAAAUCAAGAAUUCAUCAAGGAGCAAUUAUCCAAGGAAAUGGCAAUCUUCCUUUAACGGUCAAGAAAAUGAAGUUUAACCUUUUAGAAAUUCAUUUACCAAGUUCAAUAUGAUUUAAGAAAUUUAAAUUUACAAUAAGGUUACAAAUAUCUCAAGUAUAGCAUGCUUUUGGGUCCUAGUCUACCCGAACAUAAGCAUAAUAGUCGCUACGCACGGACUCUCGGCACCUCGUGCGUACGUAGCCCUCACAAAUAGAAGCACAUAUUGAUUUAGUUCAUAUAUGGGUUUAAUUCCCUCUUACAAGGUUAGAAAGGAGACACACCUCGCUCUGAAGUUCCAUAAUCAGCUACCAAAUAAUUCAAUCAACUCAAAUCGAUGUCCAACACUCCAAAACUAGUCAAUAAAUGAGCAAAUACAUAAAUGUUUACUCUAAUACUUACAUCAAUUUAAUUUAAACAAAUUCCUUCCGCUUGAUAAGUUGAUAAAAUCACCUUCGGGCCCACGUGCCCGGAUUCCGAAAAUUUUCGAAGAUAAACUUUACCCAUAACCUCACGAUCUCAAAUAUAUAAUUUAUUCUCUAUUCCAUGCCCACAUUCGUGGUCAAAAUCCAAAUAUACCAAUUUCUAGAUUUUUCUUCAAAAUCCCAAAUUUCCACUAAUUUCUCAUGAUUUUCCAAGUUUAAAUCCUUAUACAAACCAUGUAUUUAGCAUAUAAUAAGUGGGAAUCACUUACAUUGAUAUAGAUGAUGAAAACCUCCCUUUCAAGAGCUCCAAAAAUCGCCUAACCAAAUGAAAAAUGGAGGAACAAUGGCCAAAUCACGUCUUUCAAACAAUCUGCCCAAGCCAGGCCCCCUUUUUCGCGUUCGCGAUCAAAUCAUCACGUUCGCGAAGGCUGCAGACACCACUGCUUUGCGUUCGCGGCUGUAGCUCCGCGUUCGCGAAGUCCAAACUACUCCAGGCUCCCACUCAGUUUCCUUCUUUGCGUUCGCGACCCCUGUGUCAUGUUCGCAUAUGCUUCCUUAGGCAAACCUCCGCGUUUGCGAAGGCCAAAACCCAGCUGCCUCAAAUUCUUUUUCGCGAACGUGAGACACCCUUCGCGAUCGCGAUGAACGAAACCAGACAGUAACAACAGUCCAAAACUACCUGAAAUGAUCUGGAACCAUCCCGAAACACACCCGAGGCCCCUAUGACCCCGUCCAAGCACACAAACCAGUCCCACAACAUAACACGGACCUGCUCGAAGCCUCAAAUCACAUUAAACAACAUCAAAAUAAUGAAUCACACCUCAAUUCGAACUUAAUGGACUUUAGAACUUCAAACUUCUACAUUCGAUGUCGAAACCUAUAAAAUCACGUCCGAUUGACCUCAAAUUUUUCACACAAGUUAUAUUCGACAUUAUGGGCCUACUAUAACUUUCGAAAUCAGAAUCCGACCCCAAUAUAAAAAAGUCCACUUCCGGUCAAACCUCUCAAAACCUUCAAAUUUUAAAAUUUCGCCAAAUGACUCCAAAAUGACCUACGGACCUCCAAAUCCAUAUCCGGACAUGCUCCCAAUACAAAAAUCACCAUACGGAGCUGUUCCUAGACUCGGAAUUCCAAACAGACAUCGAAAACAUUGAGAUGCACUUCAACACAAAUUUAUGAAACUCUUCCAAAAUGCUAACUUCCUUAAUAGGCACCGAAACGCUCCCAGGUCACCCAAAAUCAGAUCCGGACAUACGCCCAAGUCUAAAAUCCUCAUACGAACCCGUUGGAACCUUUAAAUCCUGAUUCCGAGGUCGUUUACUCAAAUAUCCAACCUUAGUCAAUUCUUACAACUUAAGGCUUCUGAAAUGAGAAUUUUCUUUCCAAAUCUACUCUGUAUUUCUGAAACUCCAAUUCCGACCAUGCGUACAAGUCAUAAUACCCGAAGUGAAGCUGCUCAUGACCUCAAACUACCAAACGACGUCUUAGAGCUCAAAACAACCGGUCGGGUCGUUACACAAGUUACAUGUUCUAACCAAUGAAAUAUCACACUUCAAUUUGAUUGGUCGGAAAUAGUUUGUUCUUAUCAUAACUCUUUCCUUCCAUAACUAUAAAUACAGGUCUUCAUAACCCAGAAAAGACACAAGAAGUUAUAACAAGAAGCAAAAGAAAGCCUGUGGAUCAAAUGCUACAGAUUUCUCCAAAAGCUACAAGCGUUCAAGUGUUCUAAAGAUUAAAAGAUCAAGACGAAGAUUCACGAACAAGCUGCAAGCCCUUGGAUUAAAAAUACGUCAAGAUCAAGAUCAGGCCUCAAGCACUUGGAUUAAAAUAAAAUAAAAUUCAAGAUUAUUCUCAAAAGCUCUUUUAUUUACUGUUGGAAAGAAGAAUCGGAGGAUUCAUAGAGAUUGUUACACUCAAAUAUUUGAAAUAAAAUACUACGAUUUUUGCAAUAUAUUUGGGUCUUGAUUUUAAUUUCUCGACGCAAAUUUAUUGUAUAUCCCAAGUAAUUUUGGUUCGAAAAAUUGUUGGGAAUAUCGAAGUUGCCAUGCGGUGCAAUUAAUUACUUGUUUGGGGCAUGAUAUUUGGCAUAUUUAUAUACGUUUCUGUAUUAAUUUUGUUAUAUUUUUAAAUUACUGUAUAUAAUACAUAUAUACAAAUAAGGAAGAUCAUUGUACUAUUGUAAAUCAUACGAAAAGUUAUAGCCUAUUUGGUCAAAUUCUUAGAAGGUCAAAAGUAUUUAUUUUUCUUUUAAAAAAUGCUUAUUUUAAAAAGUUAAAGCGUUUGUUCAAAUCUUUUGUACAAAAAAAUAAGUAUUUUUGGGUAUAAGCACGAGCUCUUUCUCAGAAGGUGAAAAGAAUUAGCUUCUCACCAGAAGCAGAAGUUGCUUUUUAAUUUUUCUUUUGGCAAAAAUAUCCAUUGAAAAAAAUAUAUACCAAAAUAACCCUACUUAAUUUAAGUUAAUAUUUAUGCUAUUCUAAUUGUAUUUUCCCUCUCCAGAAUUAGGGAUGAUAUUAUUAGUAACUCUCUUCAUGUAUAAGUAUUUCAUGUUAUUCUAUCCUAAGCUGCUGGCGUUAAACAAUCCUUUUCCUUUUCAAACACUACUUCUAAUUAAGAGACAACCAAUAAUAAGAUAAAUAUUCCUAUUUCUUAUGAAGAAUUGGUGCAUGUCGAGGCUCCAAAACCUAAUCCUAGUUGGUUUCAAAAUUUCUCGAAAGUAUUUAAACCCUAGCUGGUUCAAUUCUUCGUAUUCAUUCAUAUUUCGUUUAUUUUUAUUUCGUUUGCUCAGUGAUAUCUAGGCCAACAUGAAUACAGAUAGGGAUCCAUUGGAUGCUGCAGAGAGGUUUCUCAUCUCGUCUUGUAUGUGUUUUAAACUUCUUUAGUUGUUAUUUUCGCCAUUUUUCGACACGCCUGGUGGUGAGCAAUUUAUGCCGAUUAAGGCCAAGAGGUGUGUAUUCGACUUUUUAGUGUUUUGGUCUAUAUACGUAUGGUUCCUUUACUUUAUACGCGAUGAAGAUACAAAGAGAAAUUUAAAGCAAAUAUAUACCGAUAAAUUCCCCAGUAUGAUUGUGUCAAUAUUGGACAAGAUAUUCGACUUGCUAGAAAAUCCAGGUAUGCUUAUGUACUUUACAAUUGGAGUAACGCUGAUUAGUUUGACGAUAGAUUAUUGGAAAGAUUGGUUCAAGAAUUGGUAUCUGUUAAGAAAUAUAUUGUGUUAAUGUAGUAUAUUCACUUUCCUUAUUAGUUGUAAAUCAAAUCCCACAGAAUGUGGAUCACGAUUAUGGAAGCUUAAAAUUAGACUUAGAUUGAUUCUUAGCAUCUGUAUAUAUAUGCAGCUAGUUUUGUAAAUGAAAAUACAUACCUUCAGCUAAUUCUCUUGUUUCACAAAAGCUUCUUUGUCUCAUUUUUAACUUGGUAUCAGAGCAGCCACCAUUUUCUCGAGAAAAUGGUGAACGACAAAGACGAAACACCAAUCUACCAAUCUGAUACUUCAAAAACCAUCCAGCAAAGCGUUGGUUUGGACCAAUCUAAUCCAUAUUUUGUUCAUCCUUCAGAUCACCCCAAUGAUAUGCUCGUUCCAGUGAAACUGAACGGCACCAACUAUCCAUCAUGGAGUAAAUCCAUGAUACAUGCCCUCACAGCCAAGAAUAAAAUUGGCUUUAUCAGCAGAACUAUCAAACCACCUCUAGAGACGGAACAACCAAUAGAAUAUGCGCAAUGGAAUCAAUGUAACAACAUGGUUCUAUCUUGGCUUACACAUUCAGUAGAGCCCGAUCUAGCCAAAGGAGUCAUUCAUGCUAAGACCGCUUAUCAAGUAUGGGAGGAUUUUGGAGAUCAAUUCUCGCAAAAGAAUGCACCAGCUAUCUAUCAGAUCCAAAAGUCAUUGGCAUCUAUUUCACAAGGUACAAUGUCGGUCUCUGCAUAUUUUAUAAGACUCAAAGGUCUUUGGGAUGAAUUAGACACGCAUCGAUCUAUCCCCACUUGCAACCAGAUGAAAGGACAUGGUGAACAGAUGGAAGAAGAUCGCGUAAUGCAAUUUCUCAUGGGCCUCAAUGACACUUACAAUGUUGUCCGUUCAAAUGUUCUCAUGAUGUCUCCAUUACCGAAUGUACGUCAAGCCUACUCUCUUGUUAUACAAGAAGAAACGCAACGAGGUAUGUCUUCGGAAUCAAUUGAAAAUUUUUCCAUUGCUGCUACAGUUCAAAGUCUUCCAAUCAAUUUUUCAAACAAGUUCAAAAGUAAGUAUUGUGAACACUGCAACAGAGAGGGACAUACAAUUAAAAAUUGCAGAACUCUGAAAUUUCAUUGCAAUUAUUGUGACAAAAAGGGCCAUAUAGAAGAUAGAUUUAAGUUUAAAAAUGGCACUUGGGCUUCAAACAAAUCAAACAACCAAAAUGGCCAGCAACCCUCACGUAGGGGCCAAGGUAAUUUGCACAAUACCUUUCCAUCUGCUAAUGCUAUGGAUUCUUCCCAAACUUCACAUGGUAUUCAUACUCAAGAGAACAACAGUUCUUCACAUGGACUUUCUACAAGUCAACUUCAAUAAAUUGCUCGUGCUUUAUCUAUGAUGACACAAAAUAAUGUUACUGGUAAUGCCGAUACUUAUGCAAAUACAGCAGGUUCUUCUCUUUUUUCCAAAUGUUUCAAUUAAUUCCAUAUUUAGUAAAUCAUGGAUUUUGGAUAGUGGAGCUACUGAUCAUAUAGCUUCUGAUUCCACACUUUUUACCAAAACAGAAUCCCUGUCAAUACCAAUUGUUAAAUUACCCACUGGAUCCUCAGCUACUAUCACUUGCACAAGCACUAUACCUUACAACUCAGAGAUCACCUUAAAUGAUGUUUUAUGCGUUCCCUCUUUUCGCUUAAAUUUGAUGUCUGCAAGAAAAGUCACUAAUGCUUUGAAUUGUUGUGCCAUGUUGUUUUUCACUUUCUGUACUUUACAGGACUUGGCUACGGGGAAGAUGAUUGGCUUGGGUAAAUAGCGUGGUGGCCUCUAUUACAUGUCUCCCUUGCAAAAGAUGCCCGCCUCUCAUCAAGUUUCUCAACCCUCGAAUUUAUGGCACAUGCGCCUUGGCCAUCCGUCACCAUCUCGUUUUAAAUUAGUUUCUCCAUCAUUGCCUUCUUAUAAUGAAUCUUUUGAGAAUAAUUGUACUGUUUGUCCUAUGACCAAAUAAACUAGACUUCCAUUUUCAUCAAGUUCAAUAUCAACUCAUAAUCCAUUUGAUCUUUUAUAUUGUGAUAUUUGGGGUCAACAUAGGGCCCCUACACAUUCAGGGGCACGUUUCUUUCUUACUAUUGUGGAUGAUUUUACAAGGUGCACUUGGGUAUUUCUUAUGAAAAAAAAAGUCUGAUACCCAAUAUCUAGUAAAAUCUUUUAUUGCAUUUGCUCAUACUCAAUUUGAUGCCUCAGUCAAAAACCAUAAGAGUAGAUAACGGCGGAGAAAUUUUAUCCAUGAAAUUUUUUUUCCAGUCGCAAGGUAUCGAAUGUCAAUGAACUUGCAUUCAACUCCUCAACAAAAUGGAGUAGUUGAACGUAAACAUCGUCAUAUCUUAGUUGUUGCGAGAGCAUUGCGUUUUUAAUCUCACUUACCUCUCACCUUUUGGGGCGAAUGCGUGUUGACCGCGGUCUAUCUUAUCAAUAGACUUCCUUCGCCAUUAUUAUCUUCCAAGUCACCUUUUGAAUUAUUGUAUAAUCAUACACCAUCACUUGAUCAUUUGAAAGUUUUUGGUUGUCUCUGUUACGCCACAGUUGUUCAUCCCACUCAUAAAUUUGAUUCUCGUGCCAAAUGUUGUAUUUUUGUUGGGUAUCCUACAGGUCAAAAAGGCUACAAACUUUAUGAUUUGGACAAAAAAUAUUUUGUGAGCCGAGAUGUUAAAUUUUUAGAAAACACUUUUCCGUUCUCAAUAUCAUCAAAUCUUGAUUCUGUAAUGCAUAGUUUUUCUUCAUACCUCAUAGAAAAUUUGCAGCAUAUACCAUCAUCUUCCACUAACAUUUCAUCUCACCAACCUCAACAUGUUGAGUGUUUUGAUACAGAUAAUUGUACUAUAUCUCCUAAACCAUUGAAUCCACCCGAACUCACUGAAGCAUCAGAUAAUUCACAUGACCAACCUACAACUUCUGCAACUUUACCUCUAGCUGAACCUACUAGUGCACCUGACAGUGCACUUAGUCCCUCAACCAGGUUGACAACACAUGUUUCCAACUCUAUAGAUCCUUCUAUAGCUCCGGCAAGACAAUCCCUCCGUGUUAAGCAACCUCCGACAUGGCAUAAAGACUACAUACUGUCAUUACAAGCCAAUCAUUCCAACUCGAUAGCAAGUUCUGAAUCAUGUACUCGUUAUCCUCUUUCUCAUUAUAUUUCAUACUCUCAUAUGUCAUUUGCACAUUGUACCUUUUUAGCUAACAUUACAUGUCAUACCGAACAUACCACUUAUGAACAAGCUGUUAUUGAUCCUCACUGGAAACAAGCCAUGAAUAUAGAAUUAGAACCACUCCAACAAAACAAUACAUGGAGUUUGGUACCUCUUCCUGCUGGCCAUAAAGCCAUCAGAUGUAAAUGAUUCUACAAAAUCAAGUACAAAUCAGAUGGUACAAUUGAUCGAUAUAAGGCUCGUCUUGUAGCUAAAGGGUACACUCAAGUAGAGGGUAUUGAUUAUCAAGAAACCUUUUCUCCAACGGCUAAACUUACUACACUUCGUUGCCUUCUUACUGUUUCUGCCGGGCGCAAUUGGUUUGCUUACCAAUUAGAUGUCCAAAAUGCUUUCCUUCAUGGUGACUUGAAUGAAGAAGUGUAUAUGGAACCUCCACCCGUCUUUGCCGACAGGGAGAGAAUGUUGUAUGUCGGCUACACAAAUCUCUAUAUGGUCUUAAACAGGCAUCAAGAAAUUGGUUUCUUAUAUUUUCAGAAACUAUUCAAAAGGCUGGUUAUGAACAAUCAAAAGCCGAUUAUUCUCUUUUCUUCAAGGCUCAAGGUACUUCAUUUACUGCAAUCCUUGUCUAUGUUGAUGAUAUACUUCUCACAGGAAAUGAUCUUCAUGAAAUCGAGCGUCUCAAAAGCUUUCUUCUCAAACGCUUCAGUAUCAAAGAUCUUGGAAAUUUGAAAUAUUUUCUGGGUAUUGAAUUUUCUCGAUCACAUAAAGGUAUUUUCAUGUCUCAAAGAAAAUAUGCAUUACAUAUUUUACAAAAUUCUAACUAGGAGCACGCCCAGACAAGUUUCCAAUGGAACAAAAUCUGAAACUUACUCCCACUGAUGGAGAAUUAUUAAAUGAUCCAACCAAGUAUAGAAGAUUAGUUGGCAGAUUGAUAUAUCUUACGGUUACGAGACCUGACAUAGUGUACUCUGUUCAUACAUUAAGUCAAUACAUGCAUGAGCCUCGAAAGACUCACUGGGAUGCUGCUUUACGGAUCCUCAAAUACAUCAAGGGUACUCCAGGACAAGGUUUAUUAUACUCUUCCUACAAUAAUCUCACUUUAAAAGCCUUUUGUGAUUCAGACUGGGGAGGUUGUCGUGCCAUAAGAAGAUCAGUUACAAGAUAUUGCAUUUUUCUUGGUAAUUCCCUUAUCUUAUGGAAAUCCAAGAAACAAUCAAAUGUUUCAAGAUCAUCCACGAAGCAGAGUAUCGAGCAAUGGUUAAUACAUGCUUGGAGCUUACUUGGUUACGUUACAUUCUGCAAGAUCUAAAAGUCCCACAAGCGGCUCCUACACAACUAUUCUGUGACAAUCAAGUUGCUUUGCAUAUUGCAGCGAAUCCCGUCUUCCAUGAACGCACUAAACAUAUUAAAAUAGAUUGUCACAUAGUUCGCGAAAAACUGCAAGUUGGAAUGAUUAGUCCAUCAUAUGUACCGACACACUUCCAGUUGGCAGAUGUCUUUACAAAGGCCUUGGGAAAGGAUCAAUUUGUGACACUACGCAACAAGUUGGGACUUCAUGAUAUUCACUCUCCAACUUGAGGGGGAGUGUUAAGAAAUAUAUUGUGUUAAUAUAGUAUGUUCACUUUCCUUAUUAAUUAUAAAUCAAAUCCCACAGAAUGUGGAUCACAAUUAUGGAAGCUUAAAAUUAGGCUUAGAUUGAUUCUUAGCAUUUGUAUAUAUAUGCAGCUAAUUCUAUAAAUGAAAAUACAUACCUUCAGCUAAUUCUCUUGUUUCACAAAAGCUUCUUUGUCUCAUUUUUAACUGUAUCAAUAUGAAUUUGCCUGAAGGGUGGGCAUCGCACUUGUAUGGUUAUUCUUAUGGUUAUGGUGUUUCAUCUUUAUUGUUAAGCCCUGUGUGAGAUUCCUUUGGCAGUUUACUUCAACAAUGAAGGAGGGAUGGGAAUCUGGAAAAUUUUCCUAUGAUUUGGACGUCUAGGAGAGUGACUAGUCCUUUGGAUUCAGAAACAUAAAGUUUUACUUUAGGUUUGUUUUGUUAUCAGUUAUAUAUGUUUGACUGUUUCUUUGGUUGAUUUUUAUUUAAGUUAAUUUCUCUGUUUUGUUUUCACUCCGUUCAGUAAAUCUUCUUAAACGACAUGGUCUCUCAACGAUAUAUAUAUAUAUAUAUAUAUAUAUAUAUAUAUAUAUAUAGCAGUUAACGAAUGUGUUUACAUACAUGCAUAGUUUUACGUGGUAUAUUAAAGGCGAAUACAUCGGGAGACACUUAAAGUUGGCACCAUUUUCCAUUUAGACACCUAAACUGAAGACUGUUCCUAUUGAGCACUUAUAAUACACUUAACUUGUUCCAAUUAGGCACUAUUUUGAGAAUUAGCCAAACUUACAAAGUGUGUGCAAUGCACUCAUGGCUGACGCAGCGAAUGACAAAUAAAAAAGGAACAUAUAUCAUUUUGAGUUAAAAAAAAAAACUAUUUUAAAAUCUAUUUAGUUAACAAAAUAAAAUAACAUUCUCAAAAAGAAAAAAUAUUUAAUUUACACCCAAUAAAAAAUGACACAUUAUUAACAAAAGAAAAGACAAAAAAAGGACACAUUGGUGUUUUUGAAAUCAUAUUGUUCUUGGUGUUUUUCACUAUCUUCAUGUCUAUUCUUGUUCCAACCGCGAUUUUAAUCCAAAAUUUCAAGAGAAACUCCUCUAAAUUUGUUAUAACUUCAACUAAAGAUUCCCGACUAAGACUCGAAGACAACCCCAAUAUUAAUUUCUCAAUUUUUCAUCAAAUCAAGUAACCCAUUUUAAACCUUCAAGCUUUCUUAAAGAGCCCAUUAAUGGUGUUUUGACUUCAAAUGAAGAAUACGGUUCUUACUUCGAUUUUAAUAAACUGAUACGGUUCUCCACCAUUAUUAGCUAAGGAAAUGAGACAAUUUUCUUUUGUUUAAUUUCAUAAGAAUAGAAAACAAGAAUGUAAAGGAGCAUAAGUCCAUAUCUAUGGGAUGUCUAGCUGUUAAGUAGGGCAAGAUUGAUUUUGAUUACUUUUAAGCGAAGUAAAUUAAUUGUGGAAGCACAACAAUGGUGAAAAUGGGGGAGACAAUGGUGGAAGUGAUGGCAGAGAGAAAAGAAGAAGAAGAAGAAGAAGAAAGAAAUAAUCAGAAAAAAUGAAGAUAAAAUAUGUUUUUGGGCUCUUCACUCGCCUAUUUUGGGUGAAGCUCACUCUAUGUGUCAACUCAGCAUUGGAAACGUUUAGUGUAGUAUAAGGGCUCAAUAUGAACAACCUUAAGUUUAGGUAUCUAAAUAAUAAAUGGUGCUAACUUUAAGUGUCUCCGGAUAUAUUCCGCCUAUAUUAACUUGUAUGUAAUAAGAAAAGAAAAGAACGGUAGCCAAACUUGUCUUUUGACUUUGUAAAAAAAUAGAUUUUUUGUUCCUAUAUUUGAUACUUAUUUACUAAAAUUUCCCUAAUUUUGUUUAUUGCCCUCCCUAAAAAAUGAUUGCUUACAAUUUAUAAUAAUUUAGUGCCUUAAAUUAGAAAAUUUAGUUACAUCAUUUUUUCUUUUUUCUCCUCUCUCCUAUUUCCCUAUUCUCUACCGCCUCUCUUCAUAUAUAAUUCAUUAUUAGUAUUUUAAUUAUGAGAUUCAAUUACUUCCUUUCCCUUUUUCUCUCCUCUCCUCUUUCUGCAAUAGUGACUUAACUAUAGUAUAACAAUUCCAUUAAUAUCGAAUCACGGUAACGUAAAAUAGUUCAAGACUUAAUUGAGAACCAAAACUUAUAAAACUAGUUUAAUAGCUUGAACUAGAAAGUAGCGUCAAACUAAAGAAAUAGAGACACUGACAAAAUACAUCACCUAAACAAGACAGGUUUAUACCGGAAUAUAUUCAAUAUGAUUCAAAUUUAAUACAUCUACAAUAACUUAUAAGCUAAAAAUAAAUUUUAUACAACCACUACAACAUCAUCAACUGAAAUACAAUUUUCAUACAAAUUUAUACAAAUAUAUCUUUUUUAUUUUAUAUAUAUAUAUAUAUAUAUAUAUAUAUAUUAAUUUGCACUGGGUGUCCGGGUCUCUUCGAGCCCCGACUAAUCCCAGGAGUGCACAGGUCCUCGGCAAGGAGUUUCCCGCAAGUGCACCAUGGUUAAUUCAGGUUUUACCCAGUCCGAUGGCUCUCAGAAAUUGUUUGCACCCAGUGGGUUUCAAACUUGAGACCUUGAAAGAGAGCAAACCCCAAGGCUUAAGUCAAUUGUCACCGGGCCAACCCCUGAGGGUUUAUUUUAUAUAUGAUUUGUACAUAUUUUGUAUAAAGUGUGUUCUUCUUCUUCUUCUCUGAAAUUCCAAUCAAACUUUCUCUCUUAAUACUAUUUUGAUACAUAUACAUAUAUAUAUUUUGAUUUCCACAUUAAAAGGCUACAAUCAAGGAUACUCAUUUAAAACUUAUUUAUAUAUAACUGGUAAAUUGUAUAUCAACUUGCUUAAGUUAAAACCUAAACAAUGAGGGUAAAUAAGUUUGUAAUGUUGUAUAUAUAGAUAAAAAUCUAUAGGUAAAUUAAGAUUACAGACAUACAGAGUUAAAAUAAGAAAAAAGAAAUAUAUAAGGUAAAACUCUUAAUGAUUUCAAUAAAUAAAGAUUUGGUAAGUGUAACUGUCACACCUCCUUUUUUCCUACACCCCGAAAUGGGGUAUAAGGAAGUUUUUCCAAUUUAAGUGACAAUCGAAACAGGAUUAUUUUAUUUAUUUCAGAGUCGCCACUUGGGAUAAUUUAUGGUGUCCCAAGUCGCCGGUUGAAAUCCCGAAUCAAGGAAGUUUGACUCUCUUCUAUAGUCUGCGAACACAAAAAUUCAGGUAAGGAAUUCUGUUAACCCGGGAGAAGGUGUUAGGCAUUCCCGGGUUCCGCGGUUCUAGCACGGUCGCUUAGUAAUUUAUACUCGACUUAAAAUGUUUAAUUACUUAUUUUAGAACCUAUGUGCAAUUAUCUUUUUACCGCAUUUAAAUCACUUGAUUUAUUCGUAAUUAAAGAAUUGAGUUACGCGUACGUAUACUCGUUUUCUUUGGCGCGUCAAAAAUCCUGUCACUCGAACGUGUCCAUAAUUAAUAAUGCUUCGUUUAUUUAUUUAAGAAAAUUUGAUUGAGGUUGCGCGAACGCAUCCCUCGAGUCUUUUUUUUGGAGUUAAAUUCGCAAUUAUGUUACGCGAACGUAUACAUAAUCACAAUGGUUUAUUAUUAAUCUCGCCUAAAGAAACUACGAUGUAUGAUGAGUUAUUUCUUCCGAUGCAAUGGGAUUUUGCGUAAAGUCAAAAGCUUAUGGAAUUAGACAGUAGGGGUUCAAAUAUCUUCGUUACAAAGCCAAGUUCAUUUGGAUUUUUGCAGAAUUAGAAAAAUAGCCUAAUGACUUGUGCACGUUGAUUAAUUAAAGAGCAUUUGUCUGUUACACAAAAGAACUAAGGCAAAUAUAAGUAGUCAAUCCUUAGAUGUACAUCUUUCCCCUUACUCUUUCCCUAAUACUAUCAAGAAAUGCCAAAUCGCUUAUAAAAUAUUUAUCUGUACAAUAAGCAAUCUCGUAAUAAAUAUUUUUUCAUCUCAAAACUUUUUCCCACGUUGGAAUAUUUCUUAUUGGUUUAAUAAUCAUCUUAACUGAUUAAAGGUAGAGGGAUAUAAAAUAACCAAUCCAUGUAAUUUGCAAAAGAAAGAAAUUAAACACAAUGUCAAAGAUAAUUUAAACCAACACCCAAUCAUAUACAGUUUUUGAAGAGCAUCAACUCAUAUAGCUGCCAGCAAAAAGAUUUUUAUAAAUCAACCAGAUAAAAAUACCACAUUAUGAAUGAUAAGAGGAGAUUAUUCCAUCUAGAAUUGAACUGAUCGAACCUAUCCAAACAAACCUCUUAAGCAAACAAAUAACAAGAACAAUAGGAUCCAUAAACAGUACGAAUUAAACAAUAUUUCAUAUUUAAGAUACUCAAACCAAUUUGGGCAAUAGGAUUCACAAUGUACGAUUCAGGACCAAAACAAAUCCUAUCCGUAUGAAACUCCAUACACUUCAGAGAUUCCUAAUAAGUAAGUAAGCGAAAUACCUUGAUAGCAAUAAUACAACUUGAACUUAGCCAAAUGAAUUCCGAAAUGGAUGAGUGAAGCUCAAUGUGUUCAAGCAGAAUACUCAACAAACAACAUUUAUUUCUCGAAAUAAAACCGAUAUUGAGCAUGUUUAUUCUACUGACACUAUACUAAAUCCCUACAAUCCAUACAUAUAGACGAAACCUUAAACCAUUCAUAUCAGCUUGACUAAUAAGAAUGUUCUGCUUAUUUACAAAUGAACUUUAAGGCAAAAAUUUCAACAACUAAGAAUUAUAUGACAAAUGGUUAUAUAUGCUAGGAAUCAAUCAGGGAGCUGUAGCUAGAAUAUAACAUGUAAAAGGCAAAUCGACCUGACACAAGCUGUGGCCCAGCAAUGUGAUUUCAAAUUCUUCUAAUCUCAUAUAUCCAUGAGGUGCAGGAAAGUACCUGAAAUUUGAAGAAAGGGAAGGUAAGAGGUGAAACAGUAAUAAACAGCAGCAAUAGUAGAACCCCAGCAAUCAAAGAGCAGACCAACAGAACGAUUCUUAACUAAAAAAUGAAGUACAAAUUAAAAAAAGACUCAAUGGAACAGUGUUUUCUACAGAGUUUACAUCUGUUUUUUUUUAUUUUCAGGAUUUCUUGGCUCUUCAGUAUUUUUUAGUAUUUUUCAGAAUGUCCUCCCUUGUCUCUCUUUUGACUCUUUCUUCUAUAUCUAUGUUUUUUUAGUCUAUUCAGCUCCCCCUUUUUCUGUCCUCAACAGCCCUUGAAAUAGGCAUUAAGUUAGUGUUCUCUCCACUAUCAAUUCACCUUUUCAUUUUUAAACCAUCCACUAGCUUAGUGCUUUCUUAAUUUAAACAGCUAUUGCAAUCCCAACCCUACCACUAUUAAAAGCUUCCUAAAGUUAGUUAGGUAGAUAAUCUCUUUUAUUAAACAAUUCUUAAUUUUCAACCUUUUAACUAAAGUGUUGCUUUUGAUUGUUCAAUUCCUAAGCCUAAAAUUAUUGUAAGGCUAAAAUUAUGGACAUGGACUUUUAGAGGGCAUGAUGUGGCUUAAUCAUAGCUAUUGGACCAACAAUUCUAAUGGGCUGCACACAUGAGGGAUCGAGCAAUCCACCAGAAAAAUGAUUAAGAACCAAAGAAUUGUGACCCAUUACCAAGACUUUAUUAAUCCAUCCUUGUUUAAGGAAAAGAUAGGAAAUACUCAAACUUCUACUCACAUUCAUUAAUAUACAACUUGAAAUUUAAAUGGCAAAGAGCUAACAACAAACAUACUUUCACAUUUAUCAACAGUAACAAACUGAAACGCAUCAGCUUUUGGUCAUGAUACUUCUGCAAAAUUUCCCAUUACAAUACCUCUAAAACAGCAUGAAAUCCCUACAAAUCCAACAUCAAAUCCAAUAGCAAGGAAUUAAUCCGCAAACUUACUUCCUACACAUAAUGGGUAUCCAAUUAUCCAGUUUUUCAAUUAUCAAAUACACCCAUAACUGAAUGAACAUCAUGCCUAUCACCACAAAAUUCAAGCAACAAAUUAAAAAUGGAAAAUAGAUAAACCUGAAUUGCUUUCCAAUGUACUUGAAUCUCCGACAAUUACCAUUUAAUAAGAAUUCCAACGAUUGAACUCGAAAGGAAAGCUUAAUAUAGCAGCAACAGAAUCGAACAUGUACCGCGAAUCUGCCCGGAUUGAACCUCGGACAGUGACUUCGAAUCAAGCCCAAAAAUCUAACUCAACAGCUUUUAAUCGUGCCUCAACCAAAGGUGGACGAUGACCUCAAGCGGACUUCGUAGGAACUAAUGGAAACAGUCACUAAACUCAAUCGAAAAAAUGGAGAAUCAUCGGAAAAUAUACUAAACGAGCUCUUGAUUGAUGGAUUUUACUGGUGGUUAUGAGGUUGGAGAAGAAGAAGAUGAACGAUGGGGUGUUGUGUUUCGCUGGUCUCUAGCGUUCUCUGCUGGAGAAGACAAAGAUAGGGGAGGGUCCCUCUUCUGUUUGUGUGACUGAUUCUAGCGAGUUAGUAAAGCAGGGUGGUGUGAGGUCCGGCGACUUGGGGUGGGGUGUGUGAAGGAGAUGGAAAGCGAGGGGUUGGGGUUUUCUCCUGUUGCGGCUGAUUUUCUUCUUAGGAUUCUAGGUUAGAAUUUUAGGUGGGGAAAAAUGGGGCUGGUCUUGGGUGUUGGGUCGGGUCGUGGACGGUUUUGGCUGAUUUUGGUUGGGUAUUAGGUGGUUUUGUAUUUGGGCUUGGGAUUUAAAUGGGACUUUAGCCCAAUUUUGAUUUCCCCCUCUUUUAUUAGUUAUUUGCAUUUUCUUUUCUUCCAAAAAUUAAAACUAAAAUCCUAAUUAAAUUUUAAAAACCCAAAUUAGCUUAAAAAUAUUAAUUAACUUUAAAUAAUACCUAUCACAAAUAAUUAAACACCAAAUUAAAAGAAAAAUCACAAAAUUUGACAUGAAACACUAAAAAUGCACAAAUACGUUAUUUUUUGUGAAAAUUUCAUUUUUUGUAAAACAACAAUUUACUAAUUUAACAAAAAAAAAUAUAAAAUCAAAUCCUACGUGUUAAUGCUAUAUUUUUUUUGUAUUUUUAAUGCAUUAAUAAAUUAAAUAUGCACUCAAAAAUACGCAAACAAUCAGGAGAAUCGCACAGUAAUUCCUAAAAUAACACAUAAUUAAAGAAAAGACCUAAUUUUGGGAAUUUUUUUGGAGUAAUCCGUGUGAGGCAAAAAUAACGUGCUCACAGCUGCCCAUCUUUACUCGGAAACACGAAGAGUUUUCGUGCAAACAUAAAGUGAGCGGAUACGAGCGAUUUUUGCCCGUUUGAAUACUCCGUGGGAAGCAUUUUUUGAAAGAAUUUGACCGAACCUCUGCUCCAAAGGUUUCCUACAUAUCCUUGGCUAUAAAGGAAUCAUGUCAAUGUAGUUCGGAAAGUUUUGGUAGCUGGGACUACCAUGAAGCUGUGGAUUCACUGUUACUGCUGAUACUGCUUACUGACCUCCUUAUUACACCAUGACAAAAUGAAGAAGCUAGACUAAGCUAUAAUCUAUGCUUUACAAAGAUUUAUUUUCAAACUUGGUCUUGUGACUGUUGUUGCCUUGUUGACUUGUAUUUUCUUCAGAAGUUCCUUUGUGGCUGACUUGAAUGGUAUUUUUUGAAAUUCUUUCCCUUUUUAUCCAGGCGGGUACGUGAUUGCUGAACCUUUUAAAUGUCUUCCUUUGACUAUCGUUUCCUUUCCUCUGUUCUCGGGACGGGCUCCUGAUUAUUUGAAAUUUGAAUUGUAUUCCCUUGCUCUUCAGGUGGGCGCCUGAUUGCCGAAACUUGAAGUGUAUUCCCUUGCUCUCCAGGUGGGCUCCAAAUAUCAGUAAGAACUUGAAAGCUAAAACUUGAACUGUUCUCCCUUGCUCUCUAGGUGGGCGCCUGAUUGCUGAAACUUGAACUGUUGUUCGUAGUUCUCCAGGUGGACACCUGAUUACUGAAUCUUCAACUGCUUUUUUCCUUGUUCUCCAGGUGGGCGCCUGAUUGCUGAUACUUCAACUGUUAUUCCUUGUUCUCCAGGUGGAUGCCUGAUUGCUGAUACUUUAACUGUUGUUCCUUGUUCUCCAGGUGGAUGCCUGAUUGCUGAUAUUUCAACUGUCUUUCCUUGUUCUCUAGGUGGAUGCCUGAUUGAUGAAUCUUUAACUGCUUUUCCUUGUUUUCUAGGUGGAUGCCUGAUUGCUGANNNNNNNNNNNNNNNNNNNNNNNNAUCUUUAACUGCUUUUCCUUGUUUUCCAGGUGGAUGCCUAAUUGCUGAUAUUUCAACUGUCUUUCCUUGUUCUCCAGGUGGAUGCCUGAUUGCUGAAUCUUUAACUGCUUUUCCUUGUUCUCCAGGUGGAUGCCUGAUUUCUGAAUUUUGAAUCAUCUUCUUCUUGCAACUGCCUUUCUUUGACUUGUUCUCCCUUGUUUUUCUAGGUGGGCGCCUGAUUACCAAUACUUGUGCCAAUCUUCCUUGAAACUUGAUUUGUUUUCCCUUGUUCUCCAGGUGGGCCCCUGAUUACUUGGUCAUGCUCUACUUUUUAUCUUUAAUAUCCGUGUUGUUCUUCCCCGUUCUUCAGACGGGCAUCUGACUUCAGCAAAAUAGACAACAAAAGAAAUUUUUUUGCCCAGUUUGGUAACCGGGUGCAUCUGUAAGUGUUAAUUGAAUCCUUUUACCAAAUAUCUUUAACAAUCUGCAAGCUAUAUCCCAUUAUCCAGGAGGGUCCUGAAAAUCUCUAGUAAGUUUCCAAAGCUACAUUAUAUUUUUUGGAGGUAUGACUUCCGUCGAAUCUUGUUAUCUAAGACUGUCUUAAAACUGCAUCCCAUUAUACAUGAGGGUCCUAAAAUUUCGAAUUAAAGCUUAUCUUACGAAUGACGAUUUCAAAGCUAAACUGUACUCUCUUAUAACAACACUUACUUAUCUAACAGAAUGCUUAAAGUUACGUCCCAUUAUUCAGGUGGGUCCUAAAAACUCUUAUGCGAACUUUGAAGCCAACUUAUACUCCUUUUGGUGCACAUUUGUCCUAUAUUUACUACUUAUGAUUGUUUUGGAUUUUAACCUAGGUCCCAUUUUCCAGGAGGGUCCUGAAGUUUCGAAUUGAGUCUUGUCUUAAAAAAUGAAAAAUUCAAACCAACUUAUAUUUUCACAAAGUAGAGCUUAUGCUAGAUAUUGUACUCAUGAAUAUUUCGAAUUAAAGCUAAGUCCCAUUAUCCAGGAGGGUCCUGAGAACUCCUAAUUGAAUCCUAUCUUAAACAUGCAAACUUUGAAACCAACUUAUAUUCCUUUGGGGUACAUUUAUGCUAGAUUUUGCUAUUUACGAUUGUUUCGAUUUUUAAACUAGGUCCCAUUUUCCAGGAGGGUCCUGAGAAUUCUGCAAUCAAACCUGCCUGGUACUUGUUCUUCUUACAGAUGAUUUCCUAAAACAAAUGUCAUCUUUGCCCCUGUUUCAAAUCAAAGAAAAUCUUGUCAGUUUAAAACGUGGUGGUUAGUUGUGGAAUUCUUGCUGGGGAUGGUUUUCUCUUUGCCAUGCUUUGCUUCGACCGACUGCCUCGAACUGGUCGAAAGAUUAUUUUGACCUUCUGACCGAUCUUUAACUGUAGGAUCCCCCAACUGUUGUUAUCCACUUCCGACCUUUAUGCCCGAACCCGUACAUCUCCCACGACAUUACUGAACCAUUCCACCGAUAUAACCUUUGCUUACACCCUAUGUCCCACUUUCAAUCAUAUUAUCUCCGGCAUGUUCUAGCCGUAUUUUGCUUUGGGAAAUUUUGAAAAUGGUAGUAAACUCUGAAAUUCCUUCUUACAAGGCUAACCUUGGAAGAACUUUAGAGGAGUAAAAUUAACAGCAAUGAAAUGCGAUGAUUUUGAGAAUUAAGAAUAAAGAAGAAAAAUCAAAAUUUGAAUGACUGUUGGAGAUAGGAAAAGAAACUUAUCUGAGGGGAGUCACUGGCACCGAUGAUCAUGAUAUGCAUUUUGGAUUAAUCAGCCUAGUCUUUAACCAAUCUCCUUUCCAAUUGUUUUACUUUGUACUCCAAGAUUUCCACAACUCAAUUUACUUUCCGCCAACUUACAGACCUUGUUCGACUUGCAGUGCCCUUAAGGGUUUUCACCGACAAACCUCUCUCAUUUGUUAAUUCCUCGAUUCCUUGUCGCCUCAUGGUGACUGAUAUCGGUUGUGGACGUUCGACCAGGUUACAUCGGGAUACUCGAUUAGGUUCUCUUUCAGCUACCUCGGGUCCACUCAGCUCCAUUCAUUCAGGCCUUGAGUGAAGGCCUACACUGCCUAGUCGUCGGAGACCAGGGGUAGUUCCAUUUGUUCCGUUUGGAAGCGAGAUAUGAACUCUCGCAACAUCUCGUUCUCUCUUUUAUUGAUCUUGAACACAUCAGACUUUGUCGUUUCUACUUUGAUGGCAUUGGCGUGUGUCUUUAUGAAGGAGUCUACCAGCAUGGCAAACGAGUCUAUGAAGUUGGGGGCUAGGUUUUGAUACCACAUCAUGUCCCCCUUCGAGAGCGUUUCCCCGAACUUCUUAAAUAAGAUGGACUAGAUCUCAUCGUAUUUUGUGUCAUUUCCCUUUACCGCGCACGUGUAGGCGGUAACAUGCUCGUUGGGAUCUGAGGUCCCGUUGUACUUUGGGAGUUCCGACAUUCUGAACUUCUUUGGAAUGUGUUUGAGAGCCGCUUCCUCUGGGAACGGCCGUUGCACGAAAUUCUUUGAAUCUAUGCCUUUCAGGACCGGAGGUGUGCCCGGGAUUUGGUCAACCCUAGAGUUGUAGGUCUCAACCUUCUUGUCGUUGUCCGCUAUCAUUUUCUCACCCGACUCGAUCCUUUUGGUGAGGUCCUCGAGCAUUUUUACGAUGGCAGGAUCGGCUAUCAAUCCAUUAUUGCUCGAUCUCUCCGGUAUCUAUUCGACUGGGAGAGCUGUUCUCGGUGCUAUUGUGCAAGGAGUUUUGGGUGGCUUUGCAGAUGAGUGAUAGCCUGCUAUUGUGCCUGCAAAAUUUCAAAAAUAACAUGAAGGCUAACCUCUCGUUCUUCCCGAGCUGGGGUUUUUUGGGCUUCUUGUUGGUCGCCUUAUUAUAUGCUCUUGUCGGUGCAUGAGGUUUCAUCAACCUGCUGUUCAUCGCACAUAACCGCGUCCGCUGGGAUCGGUCCAAGUGCGUUCUCGGGGUUCCAUGGUGGCGCACCAACAAUCGGAACAGCCAUACCAUUUUCUCCGUGGUUUUCAAGGUUAUCAUUUUUGACUCUAUUUACUGAGCCAGACAUUUUGACCUGAGAUCAAAGAUCUUGGACAAGAAAAAGUGUGAAAGAUAACUUGUAUUGUGUAAAGAAACCAGCAAGAAAAUAAUCACUAUUAUUUUUAGCCCCAGGAUGGGCGCCAAACUAUUUACCGUGAAAAUGGUAAUAACAAUUAAAUUUGUUGAUGGGACUCCAAAAGUACGUGAUCUAUUUUUAUGCUAGUUGUUAAGCAGUUGAUGCUAGGUGUAUGAAGUUUAGAGAUGGAAUGCGAGCUAAAACAAAGUUGUAAUCAAACUGAUAAACUAGACGGGUAGGGUCUCGGACUGACUGAUACGGGGCCUCGGGGCCUAUUCCUGGGCUCAGGCUUGAGCUAUUAUGGGUAAUCAGGGAAUUUCUAAUAGUUAUAAAACAAUCAGCGAAGGCUCUUUAUGGGCAAUGAUAACAAUAAAUGAAGAACAAGUAUGAAAAUAAUAAAUAAGAGCAAUGGUAUCGAGAGAGUAUAAUAUCGAGAGAGUAUGUUAGAGAGAAGAGAGAGAGAGUUCUUGUAUAUUUCGUGUAGAAUAGUUGGAGCAACAACAAUUGUUUACAAAGUGUCAAAGACCCCCUUUAUAUAGGAGGGAAAUCUCAACAAAGUACAAGAAGCAUUAAUUAUAAAGAUAGGGAGAUGGGACAACUAGAUGUGACAUCCUGAUUUGGGUUCAGAGUAGGUCGGCUAGGCUUUGUUAGACUUAGCUGUGUGUCUUGGGAGCUCCCCGUCUUUACCCUUGCCACGGUCAAUCUUGCCUCGAGGCCGGGCGUCGACAUGCCUCGAGGGAGGGAACUCGGUCACAGCUUUGCGGCCUCGAGGCUUCGAGAUAAUCUUCUGGAAUGCCUUAAUGAAGGGAAAUUGGAACCUCCAAUUUCACCGUAUAUAGGCAUCAUCACCAGUCCCGAAGUGGUACCCAACCUCGAGGAUCUCCAUAAAAAAGAAGUUAGGCUUUAAGAAGCUAACGACAUCAUCUCCAGUCCCGAGGUGGUACCCAACCUCGAUGACCUCCGCCAAAAGGAAGUUAGGCCCCAGGGAUCCAUUAGCAUCAUCUCCAAUCCCGAGGUGGUACCCGACCUCAAGGAUCUCCAUCAAAAAGAAGUUAGGCUUUAAGAAGCCAAGGACAUCAUCUCUAGUCCCAAGGUGGUACCCAACCUCGAGGACCUCCGCCAAAAGGAAGUUAGGUCUAGGGAUCCAUUGGUAUCAUCGCAAGUCCCAAGACUGAUCUCGAGGACCUCCUUCAAAAAAUAAGUUUGGCUCCGGGAGGCCUUAAACAUCAUUGCAAGAUUCGAUAUGGCACCCGGUUUCAAAGGCUCCUCUCAAGAAGAAAAAUAAGCACUUCAAGCUCCGUCCAUAAGGGUUCGACCUCAGGAUAUCAUCUAAAUCCGGGCAGUCCCUCAUCUGGAAAGUAUCUACAACGCCUUAAGGUUAUAUACAUUAAGUUCAAGACAAGUCUCCUGACACCCCGAGUUAACCCUAUCUUGGGGGCUGCUCUCGAAAGCCUAAAGGCAGUCUCCAUUCUUGAGUGUCCGAGUGAAUUUCCCCUCAAAGACUACUGCAAGGUCUAAGUGAUAAAUCACGGUCUCAAGGCUCGAAGCGUUACUUCCAUUCAUCUUAAAGUAAGGGUCCCGACAAUGCGAGUUUAUCGGACCAAUCCAGUUUUUGCCCGAGAAAUGGAAAAGGACUCCGCUGGAAGCCGUUUUUAUCAACCGAAGGUUAGAAAGAAUACUCGCACCCGGGUUCGAUAUUGGCAAUAGCCAAUAGAGUCAUAUAUUCAGAGUAUCCACAAACACAAGUGAAAGAGAAUAUAGCAAGCAUCGAAGACAAAAAUUGAAGGAACAACUUUAUAUUCAUUAACAUUUGGUUACAACAGCCCGCGAGGGGUCCUUACAUAAGAUUACAAAAGCCCAUGAGGUGUCCUUACACAAAAACAAAGAAGCUAAAGGGUACACAUAUAGUAAAAGCCUAGAGCCUAGUCUACUCUCGAAGGUGCAUCCUCGACAAUAGCAUCUUCGAGCAUCGUCUCCUCGAACAUGCAUCCUUGACGGUGAUAUCUUUGACCACCACCUCCUCUAGUUUCCCAUCUCGAUCCCACAGAAUAAUAUCUAUGAGGGAGAAGAUGAAGAAGAGGAAAGAAAAUGAGACAUAGCCCGCCGAAGCCAAAGGUUGAAGAUUCAGCGGGCAUCAACCCUACUUGCACGACCGCUCCAAGUACACAUUCCGGGACAUCGUACCGUGCAAGUUCAGCGGCCGGUUGUGCCAUUUUAUCCCUUGAGAAAAAUCUUUAGGGAUGAAGUGCCACACCAGGCUAGGGUAGGAGAGUGAGCAGUAGUGUAUAGUCCGAACACUCUCCUGAGCAGUGGUGUAGAGUCCAAACGUCCUUCUAAAUCAAAAGAAGUCGGCCCCCCUGUAUCAUUACCUCAAGACAACAACGACAGCAGUAGCAGUCAUAACAAUAAUAGUUGCGACAAGACAGUAUAGUCUCGUUCGGCAAGGGGAAGCUCAGAUAGAAGGCCAUCACGCAGCUGAUGAAAAUGCUACCAUGCAACCUUAAGGUCGUGAACCCCAAACAUGGUGGUUAGAAAUGGAGGAGGAUAGUGAGGAGAGAAGAAUGGAUAGAUAUUGAAAGGCACUUGGGUAAGACAAUAGCACCGGAAGGCCCCCCUUUAUAGGGGGAGAUAGUAUGGCCAGCAACACCAUUAAUGCCUUUGAAAGAUGGGUCGGUAGACGCAAUCAAUGCGUCAUUGAAAACUGAAUCGAUGGCGAUAUUAUAGCCUUGAAGAAUGGGAAUCGGCAACACAUUGAAUGACGUUGAAAGACAAGUCCAUGGGAUGCCCCGGUUAUCGUGAAGGCUUACGUCAUAAGUAUGAUGUCAUCAACGUGACAUUAUCACGAGAAGUCCGAAGAAUUGGAUGUCAAGGUCGUUUCUUGUCGCUCCUCUCUAAGAAACGCGGGGACUAUCUGUAUACGGCGAAUUCGAAGGGUCCAAUUUCUCGUCAUUAAGGCAUUUCAGAAGAUCAUCUUGAAGCCUCGAGGCUACAAGGCUGUGGUUGAGCUUCCUUCUUCGAGGUUCGUCGACGCCCGACCUAAGGACAUUGUUGGCCGCGACCAUGAUGGAAAUGGGGAAUUCCCAAGGCAUAGUGUCAUCCAGUUGUCCCAUCUCCAUAUCUUUGUCAUUAAUGUAUUUUGUACUAUGUUAGCAUUUCCCUCCAAUAUAAAGGGGAUCCUUGUCACUUUGUAAACCUCUGUUGCUUCAGUUACUCUACACGAAAUAUACAAGAACAUUCUCUUUGCUCUCUAACAUAGUCUCUUGAUAUUAUUGCUUUUAUUUACUAUCUUUCCAUUUAUUCAUCAUUUAUUUCUUAUCAUUGGCCAUAAAAAGCCUUCGUUGAUUUUAUUAUAACUGUUAGCCGCACCUUGAUCACCCUUGAUAGCUCACAUCUGAGCCCCGGAAUCGACCUCGUGGCCCCCGAAUCGACAAGCUCGAGGACUCGGUUGACAGCCUAUCGAUUUGAUUAUCGCCUCAUCCUUAACUCUUAUUUUGUUUCUAAAUCUCGUAUAAAUAGAACCAACUGCUUAACAACUAGUAUAAAAAUAGAUCACGUACUUUUAGAGUCACAUCAUUAAAUUUAAUUGUUAUUACCAUUUUCACGGUAAACACAUAUGGUUGUUUCUUCAAUUAUGUGAUUAAUUUCUUAAUAGUCUGGCCAACAGUUAUGUUCUACUUACUAUCUACUCUAUGCUUGGGAAAGCCAUAUUUAGAUUAGAGAAGAAUAGAAGACAUCAUGAUCUUAACUCUAGGGGAAGGGGGAUCGGGGAGGGGCAGAUUUGUGGUUAGGUUAAGAAUAUACCUAGUCGCCGUACUUAAUUAAUAAUCAUAAUAUUAAUGCGUUGUUAAGAGAUUGAUUCUAUCAUGAUCCAAUUUCUUCUAUAUCGCCACGAUAGUGCCCAACGUUACCGCUAGGCAAGCCUACAGUGUAAUAACUCUGGGAUCCUUACUUUUAGUGAUUUAAAAUAGUUGAUUUUUUGUUUGUGCAUAAAUAAGAAGUAAGAAUUUAAGAGAUCAAGAUUUUUAAAGCAAGUGAAAUAAGCAUAAUAACCCAAAACUAUCAUGUGUCUACUAGCACCAACCACCAAGACCUGGUGUCACAAGUGUAUGAGAAACUAGCAGAAUAUACAAAAGAAUACUAGUCUACUGUCUGAAGUGAAAUAGACAGAAAAUACAAGAAAAAUAAAGACUCCUGCUGCUGCAAAACGGGCUCAGAAGGGUAGCUCACUGUGAAGUCUCGGGACCCAGGGGAUGCGCGCUAGACUGAUAUCCAGAUGCACCUGCCUUAGAUCCUGCACAUUUUGUACAGAAGUGUAGCGUGAGUACAUAAAUAACAUGUACCCAGUAAAUAUCCAGUCUAACCUCGAAGAAGUAGUGACGAGGGGUCAUCUUUGACACAUACUAUGGGCUAACAAUAAAAUAUCGAAAUUAUAAUUAAGCAUGGAUUACCUAAAUAUAGCUGAAAACACAAUAACAAGAAAUAAUAGGCAAUCCUUUUACUAAUAAUAAAUCCCAAAUGUAUUUUCAUCAUUUAACAAUUUAAAUAUCAAGCCAAUGAAGCAAUAUCAAUUAUAAUUGGUUCCAAAGAUUUAUUAUGUGUAAUUAAUGCUGAGGUCGUACAGUCCGAUCCAAUAUAAGGUAUUUAAACUAUGCACUGCCAAGGGUCGAACAUCACGAACCAUAGAUGAAUCUAUCUGCUAUAGAGGCAUUCGGCCCGCUCUACAAAAAUAGAAAAUAUUUAAUAACAGCCGAUUUAAGAUUUAUUAAGAGACUAAUAGUUAAAAAAAUACCAAUUCUCAAUAACAGUCAAGUGGCCCGUCCAAGAAUUUAAGUAAAUGAUUUAACCUUUUACCAUUUCUUUAUCAAGUUACAACUUGAUUUAAGCAAUUAAAUUAACGAGAAGGGUGCAAACAUUAUAAAUAUAGCAUGGUAUAAGUCCUAGACUAUCCGGACAUAAGCAUAAUUAGUAGCUAAGUACAGACUCUCAUCACCUCGUGCGUACGUAGAGCCCACAAAUAGAAGCACAUAUUAAUCAAUUCACCUAUGGGGUUAAUUCCCUCUUACAAGAUUAGAAAAAAGACUUACCUCGUCUCAAAGCCUACUUUCGAUCCAAGAUUGUGCUCAAACACUCAAUUCGGUGCCGAUUAAUCCAAAUCUAGUCUAAUGGUAUAUAAAUUAAUCAAUACAUGUUCAAAAGUUCCUAUCUUAACUAUCAAAGUGAUUUCCCAAUCCUAUUUGAAGAUUCCCUCAAAUUCUCCCCGGGGUCCACGUGCCCGGAUUCCGAAAAUUUUCAAAGAAAGUUGUUACUCAUAACCUUAUGAACCCAAAUAUACGAUUUUACUAAAUCACAUAACAAGUUUCGUGGUUAAAUCUCUUUUUUGUCAAAGACCUAUGUUUUUUAUCUAACCCAUAAAUUCUACAAAUUUACAUAUUAAAAUCUACCCAUAAUCUAUGUAUUAAACUAACAUUAAGUAGAAAUUACUUACCCUCAAUAGCUAGGUUGGAAUCUCCCUUUUUGAAGCUCUAAAAUCGCCAAGUGUGUGAAAAAAUGAGAGGAAAGGGCCUAUGUCCCGUAUUUAAAAACCAGAUUUUACCCAACAGAACCCCCUCCUUCGCAAACGCAGAAGAAGCCUCACAUUCGUGAAGGUCUGAGCUGCCUUGGCAUCACAAACGCAGCAGCACCUAAGCAAAUGCGAAGGACAAAGUGCACUGACCCCUCCCCGGUCCCUUUCCUCUAUGCGAACGAGAGAGGAUUUUCGCGAACGCGUAGGACCCGGGGCUGAUUAAUUAGGUUAAGGAAAAUAUGAGGCGACCCUAUUAAAGAGAGCAUUAAGGAUACAUCGACUCUCUUGGAUUUCACGUCAUAGCAUAUAUAUACCCGGACUGAGCAUAUCCAAGAAAGACACAAGUGGUCGCCUUGGGGACAAUUUUGCUCUUAACUGCGCAGGAAUAUGAACAAAACACGUGCAUCCAAACACUCGCAAAUGCCUAUUAUAGUGCAAGGCUUCACGAAUGCGAGAACCUGACCGCAAACGCGAAGAGCAAUUAAUAACUGUCCCCAAAUCCAUCUUCGCGAGAUGGAUGGCCCUCCCGCGUUCGCAAAGAAGGAAACAAGAACUGGAAAAUCUGGUUUCCUCAACUUAGUUUCGGGCAGUCCGAAACACACCCAAGCCCCUUGGGACUCCAUCCAACUACAGAAACAAAUCUAUAAACUUAAUAUGGACUCGCUCAAACUCUCGAAAUGUGUAAAACAACAACAAAAGCAAGAAUCACAUCCCAAAACCAAAUUGAAUCAAAAUAUUAACUUCAAGUUUCCAAAUCGCUCCGAACGUGCCGAAUAAUACUUAGUCUACUUGGGAUGACACUAAAUUUUGCAUGCAAAUCUUAAAUCACCAAACAGAACUAUUCUCGAUCAUAAAAUCUCAUUUGGAUCUCGAUAUCACCAAAACCUACUCCAAACCAAAUUUAAAGAACAUCAAAAACCUUCAAAGAACCAACUUUCACUAUUAGGCGCCGAAACGCUCCCGGGUCAUCAAAAAUACGAUCUGAAUAUACGCCCAAGUUUGAAAUCAUCAUACAAACCUAUUGGAAUUGUCAAAUCCUAAUUUUGAGGUCGUUUACUCAAAACAUUGACUGAAGUCAAACUUAGCCUUUAUAGCCAACCUUAAGGAACCAAGUCUUCCGAUUUCAACCCGAACCCUUCAAAAUCCUGAACUAACCAUCCCCGCAAGUCAUAAAAUAAUAAAACCACAUACGAGGAGUCUUAUUUACCGGAACAUGGUUCUAUAAAGUAAAAUGAAUGGUCGGAUCGGUAUAUAUUCCAUGGGAAUAUAGGCGUUAAUCUAUUUUGUAUAGGCGAGUAGUACUUCGGGAGAAGGCUACGAGUACAAUUGUUCGAUUAACUAGCAACCAUGAGUGAAUUGUAUGAAAGUGAAUGUUAAUUAGAACAUUAUAGGAAUGGUGAAUCAACUACAAUCCUAGAAUAUUCGUCUCUACUGAAUACACAACAACCAUUUUGAUGUUUGAUAAUUUAGUUACUUGUUAGAAUUAUUACGUAGUAUAACCACACUUUUGAACACUGAAAUACUUGACUGAAUAAUAAUCCUAGUGAAACUAGCUGGUAGUUAACACAAGUUUCUAUGGGUUCGUCAAUCGACUUAUCAUUUUAUUACAUGUAUGACCAUGUAUACUUACGUGUGCUUUGGGGAGCAACAUGUUUUUGGAACCGUUGUCGGGGGCUUAAUAUUGACCGCUUUCUAGUUUUUGCUUUAAUUAUUUAUUUAGUCAAGUCUAAUGUUUCUUUUUGGUUGCUCUUAUCUCAGGAACUUUCAUUGAAUGUGAAGGGUCAGAAGCCAGGAUAUACUUCAAAGUUUUGACCCCUAACUUGAGAGAACAUUUCACAUGAGGUUGAGGGAAGCAAGGAACACAAAUAAUGUUCAGGAACUUAUUCAAUUUACUGUGUACAUGGAAGAGGAGCAACAUAUGGUUGUUCAAGAGGUGGAUAUGCCCAGUAUUGCCAAUGUCACCUCUAGCAUUGUGAAGCCCAGAAUCACUGGGCACUUUGAGCUAAAAUACAACAUGAUCCAACUACUACAUGCGAAUGGGCAGUUUUUGGGUCUUCCACACGAGGAUCCAAAACAGCACAUCCAGAACUUCUUAGAGAUUAGUAAUACUUAUAUUAGUAGCAGAGUCACUCCAAACUAUGUGAGGCUCACACAGUUCCCAUUCUCUUUAUUAGGUGAAGCAAACCAGUGGUUGGAGGCAGAACCAACUAAUUCUAUAACAUUGUGGAAUGAUCUAGCGAGAAAGGUUUUUGCAAGUUUCUUUCCUUUGGGAAAACUACAAAGAUCAGAAGUGAGAUAGUCGCUUUCAAACAGAAAUUGGGGGAAUCUUUAUACACAGCUUGGGAAAGGUUUAAGAGGCUGCUCAGAGAUUGUCCUCAUCACAAUCAAACAAAUGAAGUGUUAGCUCAUACUUUCAUACAAGACCUAUAUCUUGAGACAAAAAUUGUGGUGGAUGCUGCAGCGGGAGGCCAAGUGUUGGAGAAAAGCUUCGAUGAAAUAUAUGCAUUAUUGAACAAACUCUCUAAAAGCAAUCCUGAUUGGCAAGGAGAUAUGGGUAGACACACAGUGCAAAAAUCUAUAAGGGUUCUCGAAUUAGGUAUCAUCUCUGCAUUAUCAACGCAGAUUGGUACACUGGCCAACCAAGUCAAUCAGAUGACCUUGGUUAUUAACAAACAACAAGCUCAGCUGGUGCAACAGGUUCAAAUAUUUUGUAAAGUAUGUGGAGAGGGUCACCCGAGCGACUUAUUCACGGUUAAUCCACAGUCUGUAUAUUUUUGGGGUAAUGCAAAUAAGGGCCAAAAAAUAGUAUGGGAACACUUACAAUCCAAACUGGAAGAACCAUCUAAACUUCUCUUGGGGUGGAAACCAAGGUACUCAGAAUCAAUAUAGGCCAUAAGCCCCUCAAUAGCACUAUAGACCACCUAAGUCUGAACAACUUACAAACCCGACGAGUCACCUUGAGGAGAUGAUGAAGAAAUUAAUGGCUAACCAGCAAGCUCAAGCAGCAGCCCAUGCUGCAGCGAUUCAAAAUUUUUAGCGAAAAAUGGGGCAACUUGCUAGUGCCUAAAAUACUUGACCAGUUGGAGCUCUUCCAAGCGACACUGAGGCUAAACCUAAGGAAUCUAUUAAUGUUCUGUCAUUGAGAAAUAGGAGACAGUUAGAAGAAGUCUAGUAAAAAAAGAGGAAGCACGUGACCUUUCAUGAGGAACCGGCCACCAUAGAGGCAGAAUCAGAAAAAUCAAACGGGAGUCAGAGAAGCCAGCUGAUGAGGUGGUGGUUAAGAAACCCCCACCAUUAGUUGCAAGGCCACCACCUCAGUUUCCUCAGAGAUUGCAUAAAGUGAAGGAUAAUGCAGCCUAUAAAAAGUUUUUUGAUAUUUUAAAGCAGGUGCAAAUCAACAUUUCACUGGUAGACAUCCUGCAAGAAGUGUCCAAAUAUGCCAAAUACAUCAAGGACAUAGUGAAACAUAAGAGGAGGUUGACAGAGUUUGAGAUUGUGGCACUCACUAAAGAAUGUAGCUCAAGAACUCAAAGCAUACUACCUCAAAAAUUAAAAGAUCUAGGUAGUUUCACUAUCCAAAUCUCGAUUGGUAAGCAUGAAGUCAGGCGAGAUUUGUGUGAUCUUGGGGAAAGCAUCAAUUUGAUGCCGUUAUCUGUGUUCAGACAAUUGGGGUUGGGCGAAGCGUGCUCAACCACGGUAAUUUUUUAGUUAGCUGAUCGCUCCGUUGCUCAUCUUGAAGGAGUGAUUGAUGAUGUGCUAGUUUAAGUGGGUUCUUUAAUAUUCCCUACUAAUUUCAUUAUCUUGGACUAUGAGUCUGAUCAGGAAGUCCCAUUUAUUCUGGGGCAUCCAUUCUUAGCCAUGGCCAGAGUUAUUAGUGAUGUAUGCAAAGGGAAGAUGACGAUGAUAGUAGGCGAUCGAGUGAAGGUAUUUAAUUAGUAUAAAGCAUUUCGAUUGCCAAUCUAAUAUGAAGAGUUAUCCAUGAUUUCUGUGGUGGAAAGUGAUGUGACAUCAUUGGUUCUUUAUAUGAGCCCCAUAGAUCCUCUAGAAUUAGCCUUGAUUAGGGAUGAAGAAGACAGUGAAGAUGAGAUGAUGGAAGAAAUUGAGCAAUUACUUGACAUAUAAUGUAAUUAUAUCAAUGGGUUUGAUUUCGAGGAGUUGGACAUGCCUAUUACUUUGACCCCUCCUAAGCCAUCUAUUGAAGAAGCUCCAAAGUUAUAUCUUAAGCCUCUUCUAGUGCAUUAGCACUUUGGUUAUUUGGGGAACUUUGAGACAUUACCAAUGAUUAUAUCAUCUAGCUUGACCAAUAUGCAAUAAGAAAAAUUUCUCAGAGUACUUCGUGAGCAUAAGAAGGCUAUUGGGUGGACAACUGCUGACAUCAAGAGAAUCAGUCCAUCUUUUUGCAUGCAUAAAAUCUUUCUGGAAGAUGGACACCACCCCAGUGUUGAGCAACAAAGGAGAUUAAAUACCAUUAUGAAAGAGAUCGUUAAGAAGAAAGUAAUUAAGUGGCUCGAUGCAGGUAUCAUCUUUCCUAUUUCUAACAGCAACUAGGUAAGCCAAGUGCAAUAUAUGCCUAAAAAGGGGAGAUGACCGUGGUAGAGAACGAGAAAAAUGAGCUAAUUCCUACUCUCACCUUGAUGUGGUAGAGAGCUUACUUUGAUUAUAGAAAGCUCAACAAGGCAACCCACCAGGACCACUUCCCACUUCCAUUCAUUGAUCAAAUAUUUGACAGAUUGGCAGGGCAUGAAUAUUAUUUCUUCCUUGAUAGUUACUUGGGGUGCAACCAGAUUGUUAUAUGCACAGAGGAUCAGAAGAAGACCAUUUUUACUUGUGCUUAUAGAAUGUUUACUUUCAAGCGAAUGUCGUCCAUUCAUUGACCAAAUGUUGGACAGAUUGGCGGGGCAUGAAUAUUAUUUCUUCCUUGAUGGUUACUCGGGGUACAACCGAAUUGUUAUAUGCCUAGAGGAUCAGGAGAAGACCCCUUCUACCUGUCCUUAUGGAAUGUUCGCUUUCAAGCGAAUGUCAUUUGGUCUUUAUAUUGCACUAGCCACUUUCUAGAGGUGCAUGAUGGCUAUUUUCAUAGAUACAGUGGAAAUAAUUGUGGAAGUAUUCAUGGAUGAUUUUUCAGUCUUAGGGUCUUCUUAUGAUGAUUGUUUGAAGAAUUUGAGCAAGGUGUUGGCCCAUUGUGAAGAAACAAAUCUGGUGUUAAAUUGGGAAAAGUGCCAUUUUAUUGUACAAGAAGACAUCGUGUUGAGCCAGAGAGUGUCAAGGAGUUGCAUUGAUGUUUAUAAGCGAAGGUGGAGGCAGUUGAAAAAUUACCUCCACCCAUUUUUGUAAAGGGUAUCCGGAGUUUCUUGGGACACAGAGGAUUCUAUAGAUGAUUUAUUAAGGAAUUUUCAAAAAUAUCUACUCCUUUUGUGUAGGUUGCAUGAAAAGGAUGUAACUUUCAAUUUUGAUGAAGCCUGUCUGAAGGCAUUUGAGGAGCUCAAAAAGAAGUUUGUCGCUACUCCCAUUAUUGCGGUACUGGAUUGGUCCUUACCAUUUGAACUUUUGUCCGAUGCGAGUGACCAUGCUAUAGAGUCAGUGCUAGGCCAGAGGAAGGACAAGAUGUUUUACUUCAUCUACCAUGUGAGUAAGACUCUUGAUGAUGCACAACUAAAUUACACUACCACUAAAAAAGAGUUGUUGGUUGUUAUGUGGGCCUUUGAGAAAUUUCAGGCAUACUUGGUGGGAACAAAAGUCAUAGUCCAUACUGAUCAUACAACAAUCAGGUAUCUAUUUACAAAAAAAGAAUCCAAGGCUAUAUUGAUGCGCUGGGUUUUAUUGUUGCGAGAAUUUGAUGUAGAAAUACAAGAUCGGAAG
rnacentral:lncRNA from 1 species